AAUCCAUAGGUUAAUGAGGCGAACCGGGGGAACUGAAACAUCUAAGUACCCCGAGGAAAAGAAAUCAACCGAGAUUCCCCCAGUAGCGGCGAGCGAACGGGGAGGAGCCCAGAGCCUGAAUCAGCAUGUGUGUUAGUGGAAGCGUCUGGAAAGGCGCGCGAUACAGGGUGACAGCCCCGUACACAAAAGCGCAUGUGCUGUGAGCUCGAUGAGUAGGGCGGGACACGUGGUAUCCUGUCUGAAUAUGGGGGGACCAUCCUCCAAGGCUAAAUACUCCUGACUGACCGAUAGUGAACCAGUACCGUGAGGGAAAGGCGAAAAGAACCCCGGCGAGGGGAGUGAAAAAGAACCUGAAACCGUGUACGUACAAGCAGUGGGAGCACCCUUUGGGUGUGACUGCGUACCUUUUGUAUAAUGGGUCAGCGACUUAUAUUCUGUAGCAAGGUUAACCGAAUAGGGGAGCCGGAGGGAAACCGAGUCUUAACCGGGCGUUAAGUUGCAGGGUAUAGACCCGAAACCCGGUGAUCUAGCCAUGGGCAGGUUGAAGGUUGGGUAACACUAACUGGAGGACCGAACCGACUAAUGUUGAAAAAUUAGCGGAUGACCUGUGGCUGGGGGUGAAAGGCCAAUCAAACCGGGAGAUAGCUGGUUCUCCCCGAAAGCUAUUUAGGUAGCGCCUCGUGAAUUCAUCUCCGGGGGUAGAGCACUGUUUCGGCUAGGGGGCCAUCCCGGCUUACCAACCCGAUGCAAACUGCGAAUACCGGAGAAUGUUAUCACGGGAGACACACGGCGGGUGCUAACGUCCGUCGUGAAGAGGGAAACAACCCAGACCGCCAGCUAAGGUCCCAAAGUCAUGGUUAAGUGGGAAACGAUGUGGGAAGGCCCAGACAGCCAGGAUGUUGGCUUAGAAGCAGCCAUCAUUUAAAGAAAGCGUAAUAGCUCACUGGUCGAGUCGGCCUGCGCGGAAGAUGUAACGGGGCUAAACCAUGCA
rnacentral:rRNA from 1 species